AUGUGUCAGGUUUCAUUCCUUUUUGUAGCUGAGUGCUACUCCAUUGUAUGGAUGUGCCCCACUUCAUGUGUCCAUUCAUCAGUUGAUAGACCAGCCCAGUGUCAAUGGCGGAGGCAACGCCAUGGGAGUAUGAACUCCCCAGGAUGUGGGGCUCACUGGGAGCUCUCCCGGGGGAUGGCUGCCAAGUGGAUUAUGUGUUCAAAGCCAGUCUUCACUAGAAUUCAACCUUCACAAGGUCAAGCUCCCAGUCUGCAUUUUUACACCACUUCCCAGCUCAGGCCCAGACACACAGCAGAUGUACAGAGGAGUGUGAAAGAGGCAGUCGACUCACUGGGGAGCUUCAGAGGGAGAUGGCCCAGAUUGCUGGGUCCUACGAAUCUCCUGGAAAGAAGGAGCAGCAGAAAGAACUGGCUUCUUCUCAGAUCCAGGAAAGGAGCUGUCCAGGAUAAUGAGGAUAGGCUGGGGAAAGACAAGCCACGGCUUUGCCUCUGUGCCAGCUCUCAUGGGCCAGGCAGAUGAUCCCAGGACACCUGCCUCCACAACAUCAACACCCGCUCCAUCCUUCAUCAACAAUUCAGUACCUGAUUAACACAUCUGUACCCCAGGAGGUUAUGCCAAGCCCAACUUCUUCCAGAGACAACAAUAAGUCCAAGCCACUGCUAACGUCAUUUAUAAGCUGUGGGAUUAAAACAGAGAAGCACUCAAUUAAUUAAAAUUAGCCCUCUAUUGAAACUGUAAGCAUCUUGCUUCCUAAGAUUCUAGACCAAAUAAGUGACUGCCAAUUCUACUCUUCUAGAAUGAAAGAGUUUGCCAUUUUUAAUGGAAUGAAUUUUUUUCACUCUGAAAUAAGAUUAAAUCAAAAUGGUCUUAGCCUAAAAAAAUUCUCUUUAUUGGCGAAGAAGAAAACACCUCUUGUUACCUGUGUUCCACGUGUCAAGCUACACUAGCAAUCUGAGUCUUAGUUUCUCUAUUUGUAAGAUGGAAAAAAAUAAUGUGUCCCCCACGUGGCUACUGUGAAGAUAAAAUGAGAAGAUACAUGCCAAGUGCCUAAUACAGGGCCUGGAGUAUGGAAGUACCCAGCAAACAUUCCAUCUCUCCAUUGGGCAAGGCAGUACUGGACAGUACCAAAAGGAGUAUUGAAGGUGGGAGGAGGAAAAUAAGAUCUUCAAGCAGUCAAACACAACAGAAUCCCAAAGUUACAACCAAAAGGGGUUAGGUAUGUUUUACAGAAAAUGUUAAGAAGGAUAAGUGAAAAGUAUUACAUAGAUAUAUUUGUGUAUGAUACGCUUCUGUAAUAGGUAUAAUCUGAAUAUGAAAUCAGAAUUCCUGGGCUCUGGGAAUCAGGGUUUUUUUUUUUUUUUUUUUUUUUUUUUUGAGACGGAGUCUCGCUCUGUCGCCCAGGCUGGAGUGCAGUGGCGCGAUCUCGGCUCACUGCAAGCUCUGCCUCCCGGGUUCCUGCCAUUCUCCUGCCUCAGCCUCCUGAGUAGCUGGGACUACAGGCGCCCACAACCGCGCCCGGCUAAUUUUUUGUAUUUUUAGUAGAGACGGGGUUUCACUGUGGUCUCGAUCUCCUGACCUUGUGAUCCGCCCGCCUCGGCCUCCCAAAGUGCUGGGAUUACAGGCUUGAGCCACCGCGCCCGGCCGGAAUCAGGGUUUUGAUUGUUUUCUAAGAAAGAUUAGUUUCUUCUGCUCCAGAAUUUCAUACAGAUUAAAUUUUAUAGCCAGGCACUAUCGCUCACACCUAUAAUCUCAGCACUUUGGGAGGCCAAGGUAGGAGGAUCCCUUGAGUCUAGGAGUUAGAGACCAGCCUGGGCAACAUACUCAGACCCUGCCUCUAUGAAAAAUUUUUCAGGCCUGGUGGUGCAUACCUGUAGUCAGCAGGUAGAGGUGGGAGAACGCCUUGAGCCCAGGAGGUUGAGGCUACAGUAAGCUGUGAUUGUGCCACUGCACUCCAGUCUGGGUGACAGAGAGAGACCCUGUCUUAAAAAAAAAAAGUCAGUAUGAAAUCUCUUGCAUAAGCCAUCUUUUACCUAGCAUAGUGAUUUUGCAAUUUAUUUACACUACUGCAUGAACCAGUGAAUUAUUCUUUUUUGUUGCUGAGAAGCAUUUUAUUGCAUGAAUAUACCACAAUUUAUUUAUCUACUAAUGGACAUCUGGGCUUCUUUGAGGAUUUGCAAGUUAUAAAGAAAACAGAUACUGAUGUUUUUGUUGAUGUCUUUUUGUGAACUAGAAUAUCUCUUUCUACUUUAAUGAGUGAGUCAUCUUACUUUAAAUUGUCAUCACUUCCACAUCUUUCAUUGCUAUUGACGCUAUGCAUUUUCUUCCUUUGAUAAUAGAAUAAUUAUCAAAAUAAUUCCUCUGAUAAUAGAAUAAUCCCAUUUCUUGAAUACUCACUAUAGUGACAGGCUAUCUAAUUUGUCCUCAUAAGAUUUCUGCAAAGUAGAUAUAAUCAUAACCAUUUUACAAUGAAGAAAUAAGUGCAGGCUCAUUAAGCAGUUGGAUAUGUGGACUCUGAAUUACUACUGAAGUUGGGGUCUCUAGGCCACACUGUGGCUCUCUUGGGCUGUGACAAUGGCUUCUGAGAAAACCACCUGGACUUGUCCUUUGCUCACAUCCUGGAGGGGCAUCUAGACCUACACAUUAUGCAUUUUUACCAGUUUUAAUUAUUUUGGCAACAAGUUCCUUGCAGUUAGAUUUGUGAUGUAUUUUUCUCAACACACUGCCUAUGGGCCCCUCCCAAAUGAUAACAGGCCAUGGCAUUUGGAGACAGCCCACCCUAAUGGAAGAAUCAGGAGAGAAGGGAUGCAAUCCUCUAGAAGCCUGCCUACAUGUAAGACCCCAUGUCAAAUGUUAAACCAUGCACUUGACUCUCUCAAGUUGCCUGCUUGGCCCUCUUCCAAGUGUACUUUAAUUUCAUUCCUGCCCUUAAAACAAUUUAAUACGCUUUCAUUCCUGCUCUAAAACUUGACUCAGUCUCUCACUCUGCCUUAUGUCCCUUGAUCAAAUUCUUUCUUCUGAGGAGGCAAGUGUUGAGGUUCCUGCAGUCCCCUAUGGAUUCAUUGCUGCUAACAUACUUUUUUGCUGCAUGACUCAGAUACAUUUCCUGGCAGUAAGAUACAUCUAUGCCUCACAUUCUCUGGUUGGAGGUGUUCAACCCCUGUAGAGAGUUUCGUUCUCUCCUUUUGCUCUCCUUUUGCUCUCCUGCUUAUUAACCAACCCUCAAAAUGAUUUCUCUUGGCCACACUGCCUCUGGCCACACUUCCGCUGGCUGUGUCUCAGCUUACCCUCACCAGUGACUUGCAGGGGCUGGAAGAACCCUGGAGUCAACACCAAGUAGACCUAGACACUACUGGCUUUUCUGGACAGGAGUGGUAGGGCUAAAUCCUAAUACCAUGCAAUAUCUGGGGUUUCCUCUACUUUUUCAACUAACAUUUGGCUCUUUCCCAAAAACUCACACUGCCUAUUCUUCUGUUCUCUCUGUGUGUAUUCUAAAAUGCCCUUGCACACCUGCCAGACCAUCUGCCUCAAGGGCAACUCUGCCUCCUUUGCUUUCACUUUGAAUGCCCUGUGACUUCUUAAACACACACUUUCUGUUAUUUGUGUACCUGUGGCUCUUGCUGCAUUUGCUUGACAGCAAAGACAUGGGCUACCUUGCUGAUAUCCCCUGAUAUUUAUACUUGUUUCUACCCUGCCAGCUUGGAAGACCUGUCUGCUGGCACAUUACUAGAACAGACGCUAAUCACAACCCCAGCUCUCCUAUUUCAUCAUCACUUACCACACACUUUUCGUUCUUGUUAUGCUUCAGGGCUAACUUUUUUGGUGACUUUUGAAGCAGUUUAUAUGCCUGCACAGGGCCUUAAGCAGUAGCCUUUUAAGGAACCCAUCUACUUGCUUUUUUUUUGAGGUAGUACCUCUUUGAGAGGAGAAGAAAUUCUUUCUUUGCCAUUUGCAGAUUCUUACACUAAGCCCCAAGUCCUCCAAAGGUUACUACUUUAUGUCAGGAGGGAAAAUAAAUGCUACCCUCUCGAAUCCAAAGCCUGCUGUCUUGGGGAGCACCGGAAGGCUUUCUAUGAGUAUUCCUCUCGCUUCCUUCCAUUUAUUAUUGUAGCUUUCGUUUCUCAAAUCAAUUCCACACCCUUCUUAAUAUGCAUCAAGGCCUUAAAGUUCCUAUUCGAAGGGAAGUCAGUCCAGCCCCUUUGGAGCAGUUAGCUAAAAAACAGGCUUCUCAUCUACUUAAAGAAUAUGGGAAAUGGAAAUCUGAGAAAAGGGAUAAUUAUUUUGUUGCUCAAAUGCUCUGAGUGAGAGUCAUUCUCAGGUCAUAGAGACAAGGAUGGAGGCUGGGCCAAGGCCACAGGCACAAGAGACCCAUAGGACAGAGAUGAAGGUUUAUCCUAGGCUAACCCAUGACCAUUAGAGCAGAGAUGAAGGCAAGGUAAGGAGUACAAAGUAAGACUGGUUUAUUCCAGAACCCCAAGGAUAAAGAGGGACCCCACCUUGUUCACUCCAGUAGUUUUCCUGUCCUCAAGUCAGUAAUCAUGAUGAGAUGGUACCAAGGUUAAGGGUACAUGGUAAGACUAGUUCAUUCCAGAAGCCUAAGGAUGAAUGGCAGACACCCCAUUUGGGAUAAUAGAACAGUAAGAGGGGAGGCCUUCUUUUUCCUUUUUCCUUUAUUUCUCUUCUGUUCUCAAUUUGAGGUGGGUAAUUCCAUCUCCAUACCACAGGCCAUGCCCCUCAGAUGCAUCCUUAAGAACUGGGAAAAGUCUGAUCACCUAAACAAAAGUUAGGUUUCCUUAGUAAUACUGUUUGGCCUAGAAAUGAACUGGGAAAAAAUUACAAAAGUGAACCUUAACAUCCAGUGUUCUUAGGCAGAAAAUCCUCAAAUUAGCAUGCUAAGUAUUUUAUAACUGAGAUCAGAACAAGGAGGACAGGGCUCAGGAAAAAACUAAAUGCAGAGAGAAGAGGCAGGUUCAACUAUUGGCUGCUCUGCCAGUCAACAGCUCCCUCCAGGUUGCCCUAAGGACACUCCUCCAGGUAACUGCAAUCAGUGUGGGAAGCCAGGUCACUGGAAGGUGAACUGCCUAAUGGGAUAAAAGGGAAGAAGCUCUGCAUGGAAUGCCCUCUCUGCCACAAGCUCGGCCACAGGAAACAGGACUGCUCUGAGGGCAGAAGGGCCCUUGGGAUGGAAUCCCAAUCCCUGAUGGUUUUGAACAGAAGGGACCCUCUGCUCCAGCUGGCUCCCAGAUCAGACAUGGUCAUCAAUAGGACAAUGCCAAGGGCAAGUCGAGGUGGC
rnacentral:lncRNA from 10 species